rnacentral:rRNA from 1 species
AAGGCCUUUACUGACGCUAAAGCUCGAAAGGUGCGGGUAUCGAACAGGAUUAGAUACCCUGGUAGUCCGCACGGUAAACGUUGGAUGCCCGCUGUUUGCGAUAUACUGUGAGCGGCCAAAGAGAAAUCGUUAAGCAUCCCACCUGGGGAGUACGCCGGCAACGGUGAAACUCAAAAGGAAUUGACGGGGGCCCGCACAAGCGGAGGAACAUGUGGUUUAAUUCGAUGAUACGCGAGGAACCUUACCCGGGCUUGAACUGCAGCGGAAGGAAACAGAGAUGUUGACGUCCUUCGGGACCGCUGUGGAGGUGCUGCAUGGUUGUCGUCAGCUCGUGCCGUGAGGUGUCGGCUUAAGUGCCAUAACGAGCGCAACCCCUUUCAUUAGUUGCCAUCACUUCGGGUGGGCACUCUGGUGAUACUGCCACCGUAAGGUGUGAGGAAGGUGGGGAUGACGUCAAAUCAGCACGGCCCUUACGUCCGGGGCUACACACGUGUUACAAUGGGUGAUACAGAUGGCCGGUGCAUGGCAAUGUGCAUCAAAUCUUAAAAGUCAUCCUCAGUUCGGAUUGGGGUCUGCAACCCGACCCCAUGAAGCUGGAUU